GACGAACGCUGGCGGCGUGCUUAACACAUGCAAGUCGAACGGGGCUUGCCCUUUGGGGGUGGGUUUAGUGGCGAACGGGUGAGUAACACGUGGGUAAUCUGCCCUCAGCUCUGGGAUAACUCCGGGAAACCGGGGCUAAUACUGGAUAUGACUACUGGUGACAUCGCCUGGUGGUGGAAAGAUUUUUUGGCUGAGGAUGGGCCCGCGGCCUAUCAGCUUGGUUGGUGGGGUAAUGGCCUACCAAGGCUUCGACGGGUAGCCGGCUGAGAGGGCGACCGGCCACACUGGGACUGAGACACGGCCCAGACUCCUACGGGAGGCA
rnacentral:rRNA from 1 species